rnacentral:tRNA from 1 species
UCCUGGUUAGCUUAGUUGGUAGAGCGCUCCACUGCAAAUCAAGAGGUCCCGGGUUCAAUACCAGGACCAGGCG